CCAACAACACCUACAAAGUACCUCUAGUUUCAUACUUGUUCUAGGUAAAGCGAACGUCAAGCGUGCGUAGAGUUGUAUCGGUGGUUGAUAGAACUUGAAGGAAUAUUUGUUCUACCUUUAGCUCCUCGUUGGGUUCGGCACUCUUAUCGAAAACUGUUGCGAUCCCCUAUACUUGUGGGUUAUCAGCGAUCUCCUCUCCCCUCGAUUCAUGCCAUCUCCUCUCCCCUUCUUUCUUCUGUCCCAACCCCUCGCUUAUUUCUUCGAUUCGGUGUAGUAACAGCCCUCCUCCAUGGACGAAGACGACCACCAUGGCACGCACGUGCUCGAGUUCGCCACCGCCUACUCCGGUGCGGUGCUGGACCAAGGACCUCCGCCUCAACACAUCCUAGCUUGGGUAAGCACCCCCAUCCCCGUGGCUAUUUCACUUUCUUCCUGUGCCCCUCUUCUCUGUUCUUCCAUGAAUCCUCUAGUUUCAGUUAAUUAGCAGCACAACCACAGCCACACAAAGGCGUAAGCAUUGUUGUAGGCACCCCACCUAGCUCGCUCCAUAUUCUGCAGAUGUGCUCAUCUCAACUAAUAAUCAAUAUUUCUUUUUGCAAAUAAGUUCUAUUUAACAAAAACAGUAGUUCAAACUCCUUUAAAAAUUAGCAAUUCAGUGUAUUUUCUUGAUCCGUGUUGUAGCUUAACUUAUGUUGUGUUGUUACUAAACUGCAGAUAAACUUGUUUGGCUGUAGCCAUACUAAUGUUGUACUAUUACCAAACCUGUGUUUUGGCUCAAUUUGAAUUGCUGCAUAUGAAACACAUAUGCAUGAUUUGAACCGGCGGCGCUUUGGUGUUACCACCAUACAAAUUUUGUUCUUCAGAUAUGCAAAAUUAUUCAUUGUUCAUCAGUUGCUUAGGGGGACAUGGUUACCUUGGUGAGUCAUCUCUAGUGAAUUAGGUGUUGAAAAUGUUUUCUUAUGUAUGUUUAAGUGGGAAGUCCGAUCAUUUGCUGCUCAAAAUCCGACAAAUCAAAGGAGGAAUGCACGAGAAGCAAGUCUAUCAUCAAUGGCAAGCUCAACAAGAUGAACUAUACAGGCGAGGAACCUCCCAGGCGCAACAACUCCUCCAUCCAAGUUGAGCACUAGGCGCCGUCAACCCUGUUGGCCACUAGGACGUACUCCCUCCGUUCGGAAUUACUUGUCUCAGAACUGAAUGUAUCUAGAACUAAAAUACGUCUAGAUACAUCCAUUUCCGUGACAAGUAAUUCCAAACGGAUGGAGUACGAGGCAACGAUCGGCAGUCUCGGCGGACCGGACGCCAACAUGCCGAUGAGGCUGAGAGCCACAAACAGGGUUGAUUGACGCGGACUACCGCAACCCGGUGGGCAGUGUGAUCUUCAACGACUUGGAGGCAGACUUCGCCAUUAUGACCGGCGACCGCGUCACAUAGAUGAUCAUCCAGGUAAUCUCGACGCCGGAGGUCGUCGAGGAGGAGGACCUCGACACCACGUUCCGGGGGAGGUCCACCUGCGUCUAAACUCCGAGUCUUGGUAGAUACAUCUAGAGAAGUGGGCUGUUUAGGUUGGUGGAAUGCUAGGGAAAGGUCCCCACCUUUCAAUGAUAGUUGUGUGCGUAUGAUAUGGGAUGUCGUGAUUUCUUCCUGUUCAGAUGUUCACUAUUGUAUCCAUGA